rnacentral:piRNA from 1 species
AAGAAACGCAGGCAGUCAGAAGA